rnacentral:rRNA from 1 species
AUACGGAGGAUGCAAGCGUUAUCCGGAUUUAUUGGGUUUAAAGGGUUCGUAGGCGGAAAAUUAAGUCAGUGGCGAAAGCCUGCAGCUCAACUGCAGAACUGCCAUUGAUACUGAUUUUCUUGAAUUUAUAUGAAGUGGGCGGAAUGCGUCAUGUAGCGGUGAAAUGCACAGAUAUGACGCAGAACACCAAUUGCGAAGGCAGCUCACUAAUGUAAUAUUGACGCUGAGGAACGAAAGCAUGGGGAGCGAACAGGAUUAGAAACCCCAGUAGUCC